rnacentral:tRNA from 1 species
GACUUCGUGGUGUAACGGCCAGCCCGCUCGACGUGUAACCGAGAGGUCCGUGGUUCGAUUCCCGGCGAAAGCG